UUUCCUGAGGGCCUACUAUGUCCCAGUCCUGGGGAUACAGUGGGAAACAACAUUAUGGGGCCACAGAGCCGAUGUUCCAGUGAGGGAGACGGAGAGUGACAGAAAAUCUCAUAAAUAAUUCAUCGAGUCCAGCUGUCUGGAGGGUUCAGCAGGAGAGGUAAGUGGUGCCAUGAGACGUUCCACGAUAACAGGAAGCCAGCCCGGACACGGAGGGGCUUGACAAGGACCAGCUGCCGCCGCCGAGGGACAGGCUGCUGGAGCGCCGAUGGGCUCUCAGCAAAAUUGAUGGCCACUGUCAGAAAAUGAUUUCCCCACGGCCUGACGCCAGCCCUCGGAGGAGCUCAAAUCCCAGGCAGCGAUGUCUCCUGGGGCGGGCGGGCGGCCCGCACCUGGCCCAGCUGCUUCCCAAAGCCGGGAGCCCGCGAUGCCCAGGAGACAAGAGAAGCCUACAGGACCGGCACCCGGGAGGCCGCGCUGAGAGGCUGUGGGGCAGCAGGGGGCCCUGCCCUCUGGGGAAGAGUGGGGGCUCCUGCCUGUACCCCCUUAAAUCAAUCUGUACCUCCAAGCCCAGCGCCGAGCCGGGCACAGCGCAAGCACCCGGUGAAUGUUGAAUAAAUGAGGUAAUAAAUAACGAUUCUAGAAAGCGUCAGGGGACACCAGACCAGCGUCUGGAGAAGGGAUUCGGCAAAUGGACAAGGAGGGCGGAGGGCCCAGGACCCUGGCUGCCCAGUGCCCGCCCAUCCACACACCUACCCAGUGAGGGAGGGAGCGCGUGGCAGGGGAGAAUGGCCCAACCUGGGCCAGACCGCACCUCCCAGCCCUCCUCGCACAGUCUUCGGGUCAUACCCCGGCAGAAUAUUCGCUUUUAAAUUAGCUGGGCCUUCUUUUUUAAAAUGACAGGAAAUUGAAUCUGAUGCUGCAAAGCUGUUUCCAUAGUUUUUUAGAAACAUCCAGAACUGGGGAGUUGCCUGAGGAGACCUGGGGACAGAUGGGCAGCUGUAGCCCACCCACAGAGACUCCCACGGGACCCAGUCCUGUCCAGGAGGAAAGUUCUGGAAAGGGUCAGUUCAUCACUGAUCACCGACCGCCUAACACUGGAAAGUGGAAGAAGCCUGCUGGGGUCUCGAGGUGCUGGCACCAAGCUCGGGGUCCAGAAGGACGGACCCCCAUCCUGGUGGGCUCUACUGAGUCCCCGUGGAAGGGGCACCGAGGCAAAAGCAUAAGCUCAGGGACGGACUCUGAGGGGCGGGGGGAUGGGGAAGGGGGUGGCAGCCAGGCAGGUGGAAUGGGUUGGCCAGGGGCAGGAAGAAAACAUCCACUUGCUCAUUCACUCAACAAACGUUCACGGACUCCACCUCCAGACAAGGUGCUGAGCUGGCCAGGGGGGGUCAAAGCUGAGUGAGACUCCCUCCAUCCUAGAAGGGUCCUCUAUGGGCUGGCGGUGGAGGCAGGCUCCCGGGCGGUGUCCUGGCCCGGGCAAACCAUGCCUGCUCUGGCCUCAGUGCCUUUGCUGCUGCUGUGCCCUCUGCCCGGAAUGCCAUCUCGUUCCGUCUGGUCAGCUCUUGCCUCAAGGCUCAGCCCAAAUGUCCCUUCCUCCAGCAAGGGCUGGGUGAGGGCCUCCUCAGUGCUGACCUCACCCCAGCAGUGCUCCACCGGGGAGCUCCUCCAGGGCAGGGCCACACCUGGCCAUCGCAGGUGUCCGGGGCCCAACCCUGGCACCAAGCAGGGGCCGCCACAACUGUGAACGGAGAGCCAACCAAGUCUGCGGAGAGGGACGGAAAGACAAUGAGAACAGGGGCCCUCACUGGCCACCGGGAGCCUCCGGGGCGGCCCAGGCAAAAUUCCCUGCCCCAAGAUACACGAAGCCACGCCCGUGCCGAGGCAAGAACACAACCGGCGAAACCCCCCAGCCUCGGCAAGAAAUCAGCACCGCUGCCCACUGCUGCUGUCCCCUCCUUCCAGAAUACACGGAGCCGUAGCUCUUCCCUCCUGCGGCUCCCCACUGCUCCUGGGGCCCAGGAGAACAAAUGCUCACGUCUACUGGCUAAUACAGACCCCACGACCUACCACGAGAAUCGCUCCAUUUGACAGAGAAGCAAACCGAGGCCCAAAGACAGAACGUCUUUCCUGAUCCCGUGUCCACGGGAAGCGCCACUCUUGGCUACAGGGGCUCCCCAAAGGGACCGGAACUGGCACGGCUGUCCUUAACACCAUCCAUGCCUACUUCUGCCUCCUCUGGGAUGCCUCGUGCCCUCUCCAGCCUUUUUUUUUUGUUUUCUGAAAACCAGGAUCUGAUCGCAUCAGUCCCUUGCUCAAGUGCCGCUGA